rnacentral:rRNA from 1 species
AUUGAACGCUGGCGGCAGGCCUAACACAUGCAGGUCGAGCGGAUGAGAGGAGCUUGCUUCUCGAUUCAGCGGCGGACGGGUGAGUAAUGCCUAGGAAUCUGCCUGGUAGUGGGGGACAACGUUUCGAAAGGAACGCUAAUACCGCAUACGUCCUACGGGAGAAAGCAGGGGACCUUCGGGCCAUGCGCUAUCAGAUGAGCCUAGGUCGGAUUAGCUAGUUGGUGAGGUAAUGGCUCACCAAGGCGACGAUCCGUAACUGGUCUGAGAGGAUGAUCAGUCACACUGGAACUGAGACACGGUCCAGACUCCUACGGGAGGCAGCAGUGGGGAAUAUUGGACAAUGGGCGAAAGCCUGAUCCAGCCAUGCCGCGUGUGUGAAGAAGGUCUUCGGAUUGUAAAGCACUUUAAGUUGGGAGGAAGGGUUGUAGAUUAAUACUCUGCAAUUUUGACGUUACCGACAGAAUAAGCACCGGCUAACUCUGUGCCAGCAGCCGCAGUAAUAC